rnacentral:rRNA from 1 species
AGUGAACGCUGGCGGUAGGCCUAACACAUGCAAGUCGAACGGCAGCACAGUAAGAGCUUGCUCUUACGGGUGGCGAGUGGCGGACGGGUGAGGAAUACAUCGGAAUCUACUUUUUCGUGGGGGAUAACGUAGGGAAACUUACGCUAAUACCGCAUACGACCUACGGGUGAAAGCAGGGGAUCUUCGGACCUUGCGCGAUUGAAUGAGCCGAUGUCGGAUUAGCUAGUUGGCGGGGUAAAGGCCCACCAAGGCGACGAUCCGUAGCUGGUCUGAGAGGAUGAUCCGCCACACUGGAACUGAGACACGGUCCAGACUCCUACGGGAGGCAGCAGUGGGGAAUAUUGGACAAUGGGCGCAAGCCUGAUCCAGCCAUACCGCGUGCGUGAAGAAGGCCUUCGGGUUGUAAAGCCCUUUUGUUGGGAAAGAAAAGCAGCAGGUUAAUACCCCGCUGUUCUGACGGUACCCAAAGAAUAAGCACCGGCUAACUUCGUG